rnacentral:rRNA from 1 species
UACGUAGGGGGCAAGCGUUGUCCGGAUUUAUUGGGCGUAAAGAGCGUGUAGGCGGCCUGAAAGGUCAGCUGUGAAAACUCGAGGCUCAACCUCGAGACGUCGGUUGAAACCAUCUGGCUAGAGUCCGGAAGAGGAGUGUGGAAUUCCCGGUGUAGCGGUGAAAUGCGCAGAUAUCAGGAGGAACACCAAUGGCGGAGGCAGCUCGCUGGGACGGUACUGACGCUGAGACGCGAAAGCGUGGGGAGCAAACAGG